rnacentral:rRNA from 1 species
UGUACGUACAAGCAGUGGGAGCACCCUUUUGGGUGUGACUGCGUACCUUUUGUAUAAUGGGUCAGCGACUUAUAUUCUGUAGCAAGGUUAACCGAAUAGGGGAGCCGGAGGGAAACCGAGUCUUAACCGGGCGUUAAGUUGCAGGGUAUAGACCCGAAACCCGGUGAUCUAGCCAUGGGCAGGUUGAAGGUUGGGUAACACUAACUGGAGGACCGAACCGACUAAUGUUGAAAAAUUAGCGGAUGACCUGUGGCUGGGGGUGAAAGGCCAAUCAAACCGGGAGAUAGCUGGUUCUCCCCGAAAGCUAUUUAGGUAGCGCCUCGUGAAUUCAUCUCCGGGGGUAGAGCACUGUUUCGGCUAGGGGGCCAUCCCGGCUUACCAACCCGAUGCAAACUGCGAAUACCGGAGAAUGUUAUCACGGGAGACACACGGCGGGUGCUAACGUCCGUCGUGAAGAGGGAAACAACCCAGACCGCCAGCUAAGGUCCCAAAGUCAUGGUUAAGUGGGAAACGAUGUGGGAAGGCCCAGACAGCCAGGAUGUUGGCUUAGAAGCAGCCAUCAUUUAAAGAAAGCGUAAUAGCUCACUGGUCGAGUCGGCCUGCGCGGAAGAUGUAACGGGGCUAAACCAUGCACCGAAGCUGCGGCAGCGAACGUAUCACUUAAAGCGAUUCAGCGGGUUACGAUUGACGGAGCGAAGCGACGUCAAAGCGUAUACAAAGUCGAGUCGGUUUAAGGAUACGUUCGUUGGGUAGGGGAGCGUUCUGUAAGCCUGUGAAGGUGUGUCGUGAGGCAUGCUGGAGGUAUCAGAAGUGCGAAUGCUGACAUAAGUAACGAUAAAGCGGGUGAAAAGCCCGCUCGCCGGAAGACCAAGGGUUCCUGUCCAACGUUAAUCGGGGCAGGGUGAGUCGACCCCUAAGGCGAGGCCGAAAGGCGUAGUCGAUGGGAAACGGGUUAAUAUUCCCGUACUUGGUGUUACUGCGAAGGGGGGACGGAGAAGGCUAUGUUGGCCGGGCGACGGUUGUCCCGGUUUAAGCGUGUAGGUGUGUGUUCCAGGUAAAUCCGGUU